GAUGAACGCUGGCGGCGUGCCUAAUACAUGCAAGUCGAGCGAACAGAUGAGGAGCUUGCUCCUCUGACGUUAGCGGCGGACGGGUGAGUAACACGUGGAUAACCUACCUAUAAGACUGGGAUAACUUCGGGAAUCCGGAGCUAAUACCGGAUAAUAUAUUGAACCGCAUGGUUCAAUAGUGAAAGACGGUUUUGCUGUCACUUAUAGAUGGAUCCGCGCCGCAUUAGCUAGUUGGUAAGGUAACGGCUUACCAAGGCAACGAUGCGUAGCCGACCUGAGAGGGUGAUCGGCCACACUGGAACUGAGACACGAUCCAGACUCCUACGGGAGGCAGCAGUAGGGAAUCUUCCGCAAUGGGCGAAAGCCUGACGGAGCAACGCCGCGUGAGUGAUGAAGGUCUUCGGAUCGUAAAACUCUGUUAUUAGGGAAGAACAAAUGUGUAAGUAACUAUGCACGUCUUGACGGUACCUAAUCAGAAAGCCACGGCUAACUACGUG
rnacentral:rRNA from 1 species